rnacentral:rRNA from 1 species
AUUGAACGCUGGCGGCAUGCCUUACACAUGCAAGUCGAACGGUAACGCGGGGGGCAACCCUGGCGACGAGUGGCGAACGGGUGAGUAAUACAUCGGAACGUGUCCUGUUGUGGGGGAUAACCCAUCGAAAGGUGAGCUAAUACCGCAUGAUCUGGAGACAGCAAAAGCAGGGGACCGGUAACGGCCUUGCGCGAUUGGAGCGGCCGAUGUCCGAUUAGCUAGUUGGUGGGGUAAAGGCCCACCAAGGCAACGAUCGGUAGCUGGUCUGAGAGGAUGAUCAGCCACACUGGGACUGAGACACGGCCCAGACUCCUACGGGAGGCAGCAGUGGGGAAUUUUGGACAAUGGGGGCAACCUGAUCCAG